AAUUUCUUUGCUACUUUUUCACUAUGUUUCAUUCAUGUGAGAGGCAAGAGAAGGUGCCCAGUCCAUGUGUCCCACUUGUCUGGAAGAACGUUUGGAGUCUGGCAGUCUGGUUGUUUUCGUAGCUCCAGAGGAUUUUUAGGAGCAUGGGGAGCAUGGGAUGCAUCAACCUGUGGACCACAAAACCCUCUGGAGAAUGUUGGCUGUGGAUAAAAGCAUCUGGAAGUUUCUACCAUCUUUUUACCCUGUUUUUUCCCGGGUUACCCUGUGUCAUUUGUGGCCCUGUCCUGAGGAUUAUGGCAAACAGUCACUUACUGGAAUUCCUCCUCAUGUAUCUUCUUGAAAUGGAGCCACUGCUUUACCCAGCUGGAAGAUAUUUUCUCCCAGAGCUCUUCCAGUGCAGCAGCAGCACUCCUGUCCAGCAGAGCUGUGCCAAAGUGUCUGAUGAAACAUGGAUCUUGGCCGGCAAGAGCUGCAGUUCCUCUUCUUUUGAAAGAAGCUGGGAAAGGCUCCCCAAAACAACCAGUGGAGAGAGUGUCCAGAUGAAAGAUCUGGAUGAUUGGUGUGCCCUGUCCUUGUUGUCAACUGCUUUGCCAGGAAGAUUAAUGGCAGACGAGAAAAUGUGAGGAUGCUGCUGCGUCACUUGCAUUCUUCACCCCAGCCCAGCAGUAACUCUUUCCAGACUACCAGCAGCAGUCCAGGCACUUACAUCCUGCUCCAUUCCCUCUCCAAGAGCUUUGUGUAUAGGGCAAGUGCGUCCAUCCCCUUUCCUUCAGCAGAGGAGCUGCUGCCAGCUCAAACAGAGGUUCCUAUCUUUCUGAAACAUGAAAAACACUCAUUUCUCUCUCACACCUUUUCAAAACUGGAGCAGAAAGAGAAUAGCAGUUACUGCCAUAUGAGAGAGUGAGAAUGGGAAGCUCUGGAUAAGCAUUUGUAAAAUAUCCAGGGGAAAUAGAUGCUGGCAAAGACUCUGCUGAGUGGGAGUGGGUGUACCAAAAUGUAUGUGUCAGGAUGAGAAAUGUAUUUCUAGGGAAGGACAUGGAGAACUGGCUGCUUCCCAGGACACAGCUCCUCCUGGGGCUCUUCCUGUGGGAGAUCUCUGCAUUUUUUUUUUUAACACAUGGACUAUCUCCCCAGCCCACUCUUCUGAGUAGAAACUAAUCUCUGUAUUGAGAGAAAGUUGUUUCUUAUUAACUCUCUGAAUGGGGAAAAAAUAACCUCAACUCCCUGUAGUGGGAAUUGCACAAGUCAAAAUUUUGCAUUCCCUUCUCCAGACUCCAAAGUCGUUCCUGGAAGGAUGAGUUGUGGGUCAGAGAGGGGCUGUGCCCUCCUGCCAUACCUGCUGUGAGCUGCCAGGUCUGGCUAUCAGUCUGAAUGCAUGAUGAGAGCAGAGUAAAAAGAGUAAAACUGCAGUCAUGGCCUGAGCAGGGAUACCCAAAAUUAACAUCAAAAGGAAAGGAGGGAGUUGUCCAAAUACAGCCUGCAAACCUUUAAUUCUGUGUGACAGUGGUACCCCGAGCCAGGUAAUCUCCAGGAUCAGUGUUGCUGCAGUAAUGGAAGCAGCUGAUGUGGGAAGAUGAAGGUUUGAUGGAAGGUAUAAUAAUCUAUCUUAGAUGUUUUAAUUUUC
ensembl:lncRNA